AAAGAAAAAAGAUUUUACAGCAGGAAAAUAUGUAUAAGGGUCGACAUUUUCGGUUUCGCGUUAAUACAUGGACAAACAAGUGUAACUAAUAAAGUGCAGCUAAAAUAUUUGUUUUACAGCCAGGCGUCAAUCACAGUGGAUAUCCCAUAUCUAUAUAGUGACAAAAGAUCUGCGCAACAAUGGAUGCCUCCAAUAAAACCAUAGAUCUGUAUCACCGCAGCACAAACAAAGCAUUAGAUGAUGAAACAUCAAUAGAUGAAUUCCUCAAUCAAAUGGAAGAAGAUUGUAAUCUCACAUGUGGCUCUAGUGUUUACAGGAACUUUAUCAUUACAAACCAUUCGUCAUAUAUUCUCGCGGAUUGUGUUGGGACCGUGGUGGCUAUGAUAAUGUUUGUAAUUGUGAUGAUGAUAGUGAUGAUGAUGGUGAUGAUGUGAUGAUGAUGAUGAUCACAAUCACUGUAAUAUUGGUUGCUUUGCUUUUGAUGCAUGGAAGCGAUGAGGCAGCAAACACGUAUCAGAACCGAAAUGGUCUUCGUUCCCUUAGAUAUAGAUAUGAUUAAUAGAAAAUAAACUUCCUAUAUAGAUAAUGAUUAAAAAAGACUAUAUUUUGUAGCAAGUGCAAAUAUUUUGUUUGAAUUGUAAUUUACAUGAUGUA